GGGGCUGUAGCUCAGUUGGCUAGAGCACCUGCUUUGCAAGCAGGGGGUCGUGGGUUCGAGUCCCAUCAGCUCCA
rnacentral:tRNA from 2 species